AGCACGCUACAAACGCAGGAGGCCCAGCACCAAAGGCCGGUGGGGGUGUCCUUCUGUUCCACUGAGGCUCCCCUCUCCUCUCCGUAUUAGAAGCACUGGUUUUGUUGCAUUGUUUUGAAAUUUUCAAGGUUGCCUGAUCAAACUGUCGACGUGGUGGUACUUUCUCAUUCUUGCUGUUUUCUAGAGUAGACAGUAAGGGCAGCCUUCACUUGGGAGAAGAUGCACUGAAUACUUGGAUCUGUGAGACGAUUGAAUAUAUUUUCUCGUGAAGACUCUUUACUCAGUUGAACUUGGCUCUACCAUGCCCAGAGUACAAGAAAUAUUGCACCUAAUUUGGAGGGAGCUUUCUACACCUUACAUACAUGCAUUGUGACCAACUUGGAAGCAGAGCAGAGUACUUUUGAAAGGCUUAUAAACAAAGUGUGUGCUUCCUCUGGAGAGCCUAAAUUGGCUGUGUCACUCAGAUCCAUCCCUAUCCAAGGAUUAAAGAACACUAUGAAAAAGACCCCCAGUCAUCUUUCACUGCACUUGCUGCUCAGGGUGAGUGGCCACAGCAGAUUCUAUCUGGCAGGGAGUGGCUGUCAUGAUCUCUACAGCACCGCUCUACAGCGGGGUGCACAACUGGACCAGUUCUGACCGGAUUCGCAUGUGUGGCAUCAACGAGGAGAGGAUUUCUGCCCAAGGAAGAGCCCACCAAAUGGAGAGGGAGCCUGGUCAGGAGGGGAAGAAUGUAAACAAAUAGUGCCUUCCCAUGUGAGUUUGGAGGGAGGGACUGCUGUUUCCCCACACCACCACAGCCCUCCCCCUAAGCCAUCCCUGGUGAUUCUAGUUGGAACAUGCUCCUUCAGCCCAAGGCUGGGUACAUAGAGGUCCUGCUUUUCUGGUCUCUCGGGAGUUGAUGGUGAAGUCUGUUUUCCCUUUCCUUGGGGCCCGCCCCUCCCUCAAGACCCCCAACUGCCUCCAAAGCCCUUGCCUCACAGUCAUUCUGUUUGUUACCAACAGCCCUUUUCCAGCAGUGGCGCCCUCCUACUUCUGCCACCCUAGCUGAUUUUUAAAGGGGACAAGCCUUUCCCUCUUGAUUCGCCCCUUUUGGAGCACCGAAAAGAUGGAGAGAGGUCUGCUUUGACCCCCCAGUUUUGCUUCUCUUGCCCCAAGUACAAUUUGGGAGUCCCUGUUUCAGUCAGUGGGGGGAGUUAUUUUCAGGUAACUCCUCCUUGCUGGAGUUGGCUGCAGGCACCUCAAAUACCCCUUAGACUAGAGUGGUUAGUGAGGCAGGGGCUGACUUUUC
rnacentral:lncRNA from 1 species